AUUGAACGCUGGCGGCAUGCCUUACACAUGCAAGUCGAACGGCAGCACGGGUGCUUGCGCCUGGUGGCGAGUGGCGAACGGGUGAGUAAUACAUCGGAACGUACCUUAUCGUGGGGGAUAACGCAGCGAAAGCUGUGCUAAUACCGCAUACGCCCUGAGGGGGAAAGCGGGGGAUCGCAAGACCUCGCGCGAUUAGAGCGGCCGAUGCCUGAUUAGUUUGUUGGUGGGGUAAAAGCCCACCAAGGCGACGAUCAGUAGCUGGUCUGAGAGGACGAUCAGCCACACUGGGACUGAGACACGGCCCAGACUCCUACGGGAGGCAGCAGUGGGGAAUUUUGGACAAUGGGGGCAACCCUGAUCCAGCAAUGCCGCGUGAGUGAAGAAGGCCUUUGGGUUGUAAAGCUCUUUUGUCAGGGAAGAAACACCGGCUCUAACACAGUCUGGGAAUGACGGUACCUGAAGAAUAAGCACCGGCUAACUACGUGCCAGCAGCCGCAGUAAGAC
rnacentral:rRNA from 1 species